rnacentral:lncRNA from 1 species
AAAAAAGCUUUUUCCGCCGCAAGUAGUAGCCAUACUCCGGAUCAUCGGAAAUAACCUCAGAAUUUAUUUCAUUCGACAACGAUCAUCACACAAGAACUCACAUCGAGAUCCACUUCAUAUUCGUCGUUUUCACCUCCGAUCGCGACCAUUGCCGUUGCAACAGUACUGAACUUUCAGGUGAUGGCAAGUUUCUAUAAUCUGGCACCGUAUUUUACGAUCUCUAUUUUUCAACGAUACCCAUUAUCACCUCCGUCGAGGUAACGAUAACGAUAGCAGAAAUAUAAAUAUAUAUGUAUGUAAAUUGAUGACUGGUGUUUAAUUAAUUUCGAUUGAAUUCAGGCGGGGAAAAUUGAUGUGAAGCAGAAAUCAGCAACAACGGCGAAGAUCGAUAGAAUUGAUCGGAAAGAGGAUCGAUCUCUUUAAACGGAAGCAUCUUAUUAUUACGGUGAGGAUAAAAUUUAAAACACUCCGGUUGACGUUAAAACUCCACAAGAAGACUAAACAGACUAAACAGAAGAAACAUGUUGUGCACUGUUUACUAUCGGACAUGGUUUUCGACACGACACCUAACAGCAUCACCGGCGACGACAUCAUCUGCAUUUAAUCAUUUUUUAAAUUAGAUUUAUACUUGGUUUUGUAUCGGCAAAACGCCGUGUAAGUACGUAAACCUUCUAAACCAUGCAUAAACCCUAACACGAUCCAUUAUGAUUUAUACGAAAGUAAUCUGCUCUAUUUCCAUCGAAAA